UGCCCUGCACUCUGGGACAAGCCCUGGAAACGGGGUCUAAUACCGGAUACUGACCCGCUUGGGCAUCCAAGCGGUUCGAAAGCUCCGGCGGUGCAGGAUGAGCCCGCGGCCUAUCAGCUUGUUGGUGAGGUAAUGGCUCACCAAGGCGACGACGGGUAGCCGGCCUGAGAGGGCGACCGGCCACACUGGGACUGAGACACGGCCCAGACUCCUACGGGAGGCAGCAGUGGGGAAUAUUGCACAAUGGGCGAAAGCCUGAUGCAGCGACGCCGCGUGAGGGAUGACGGCCUUCGGGUUGUAAACCUCUUUCAGCAGGGAAGAAGCGAAAGUGACGGUACCUGCAGAAGAAGCGCCGGCUAACUACGUGCCAGCAGCCGCGGUAAUACGUAGGGCGCGAGCGUUGUCCGGAAUUAUUGGGCGUAAAGAGCUCGUAGGCGGCUUGUCGCGUCGGUUGUGAAAGCCCGGGGCUUAACCCCGGGUCUGCAGUCGAUACGGGCAGGCUAGAGUUCGGUAGGGGAGAUCGGAAUUCCUGGUGUAGCGGUGAAAUGCGCAGAUAUCAGGAGGAACACCGGUGGCGAAGGCGGAUCUCUGGGCCGAUACUGACGCUGAGGAGCGAAAGCGUGGGGAGCGAACAGGAUUAGAUACCCUGGUAGUCCACGCCGUAAACGGUGGGCACUAGGUGUGGGCGACAUUCCACGUC
rnacentral:rRNA from 2 species